CAGUAAGCCACUUCCUUGCUAGAAUUCAUCUUUCACAAUCUCCCUUUCUUUUCGAUCAUUUGAACAAUAGUCUCAUCGUAAAAGCACAAUUGAGUGUGAAGGUCUCUGGUGAAAAAAAAUGAACCGUGGACUGGCCGGAUUUUCUUCGGAAGAGGCUUCAACCAAGAGACCGUUCAAUUUGGAGUCGAGCGAGUUGAGGAUGAUGUAGGAUGAGCUUUCCAGAUGAGCUUUCCUCUCUUCAGGUUUUUUCUCCUCCUUUAGACAUAUCAUCUUUGAUCUCUCAGUCUUGAGAUAUACAGAUCUUCA
rnacentral:lncRNA from 1 species